AUUUCUAAACAUAUUAGUAGCUCUGGAAUUUUCCAAUGGAUUCCCCGAAUUUAUUGUUUUAAAAAUAAAUAAAAUACUAAGUUCUAAUUGGAUAAAGCAGUUUACUGGCUACAGAACAAAGCAUUUGAAUUGGAGUUUACGCUAAAAAAAUUGGAAGGUACUUCUUGCUACGCUCUCGGAGAAGUUCUCGGACAAGAUCAUGGACUUAUUUCUGGUUUAUUUGAUGACUGAAACGUCAGGGCUUUCUCAGAUGAUACAUUACGCAUGGCGUGUGAUGCAUGAUGAACAUCAGCAGAAGAUGUGCUGUGGCAGAGUAUAAUAAAUAUAUAAUAAAAGAUUAAACAUUGAAACAC